rnacentral:rRNA from 1 species
UACAGAGGUGGCAAGCGUUGUUCGGAAUUACUGGGCGUAAAGGGCGCGUAGGCGGCCCACUAAGUCAGACGUGAAAUCCCCCGGCUUAACCUGGGAACUGCGUCUGAUUCUGGAGGGCUUGAGUAUGGGAGAGGGAUGUAGAAUUCCAGGUGUAGCGGUGAAAUGCGUAGAUAUCUGGAGGAAUACCGGUGGCGAAGGCGGCAUCCUGGACCAUUACUGACGCUGAGGCGCGAAAGCUAGGGGAGCAAACGGG